CUGACAAAAUGGGCACAGCAGAGCAGGAUUUUCCAUCAAUCUCUUGUACAAAAGAAAAUCAACUUGGCGUUCCCAAUGGAAGCAAAUCAUUCAAUUCUCUGCAAUUUAAGUGCAAAAAUCACAGCCUGAAGCCCAGCAGCUGUCGUCCAUACCAAGUGAGUGCAACUCUAUCCUUUCACAAGGCGCGAUAUCAAGAGACUAGGUACUUCACCAUGAUCAGAGGACAUCCCACAUCCAAAGAAAAAGUCACAAACAGUCCAGCUCACAAGUGCGGUGAAAGUAUCAGAAGAGGAGGACUUCGAGAUCAUCACCGACCAAAACAAGCAUCCCUUAGAGGAAGCAACCUUGGCGGCCAUGUUACUUGAAAUACAGUAGGGCUUCCAGGGGAAAAAUACAAUUAACUCCAUAUCAGAAAGCAUAACUAUCUAUGUUUUCCCAAAAAUUCAGAAAAGCUGAAGAGGUAAGCUUCAACUAGCCCUUCACCCGAGACUUGAAGACACUAGUGUGAAUUGCAAGGGGCUCCCCCGACCCAAGGUAAUCAGAAAUCUAAUGGCCAAUAUUAGAAAAUAUAACUCAGACAUCAUCUUUUUGUCAGAAAUCGUAGUGCCUAUAGAACACACCUUAUCUAUUGUAAAUAGUCUUAGUUUUCAUCACUUUGUAAAUUUUCUAGUCUCUGAGAAAAAAAGGAGGCUUUUUGCUUAUGUGGCGUCGAGGUGUAGACGUACAAAAUGUAAAUAUUAAUGCUAAUGCUAUCUCUAUUUUGAUCUA